CAGCAGCCGCGGGAAAACGUAGGUGGCAAGCGUUGUCCGGAAUUAUUGGGCGUAAAGGCUCGCAGGCGGUUUCUUAAGUCUGAUGUGAAAGCCCCCGGCUCAACCGGGGAGGGUCAUUGGAAACUGGGAAACUUGAGUGCAGAAGAGGAGAGUGGAAUUCCACGUGUAGCGGUGAAAUGCGUAGAGAUGUGGAGGAACACCAGUGGCGAAGGCGACUCUCUGGUCUGUAACUGACGCUGAGGAGCGAAAGCGUGGGGAGCGAACAGGAUUAGAUACCCCGGUAGUCCCUGUCUCUUAUACA
rnacentral:rRNA from 1 species